CCUACGGGAGGCAGCAGUGAGGAAUCUUGGUCAAUGGGCGCGAGCCUGAACCAGCCAAGUCGCGUGAAGGAAGAAUGCCCUCCGGUUUGUAAACUUCUUUUAUAAAGGAAUACAAUGAGGCACGUAUGCCUUUUUGUAUGUACUUUAUUAAUAAGGAUCGGCUAACUAAGUUCCAGCAGCCCCGGUACUACGGUUGAGCCGGGCUUUAUCCGGAUUUAUUGGGUGUAAAGUGAGCGUAGAUGGGUUGUUAAGUCAGUUUUGAAAGUUUGCGGCUCAACCGUAAAAUUGCAAUUGAGACUGGCAGGCUUGAGUACAGUUGAGGGAGGUGGAAUUCGUGGUGUAGCGGUGAAAUGCUUAGAUAUCACGAAGAACCCCGAUUGCGAAGGCAGCUUACUAAUCUGCCACUGACAUUGAUGCUCGAAAGUGUGGGUAUCAAACAGGAUUAGAUACCCUUGUAGUC
rnacentral:rRNA from 1 species